rnacentral:rRNA from 1 species
GGCAGGCCUAACACAUGCAAGUCGAACGGUAACAUUUCUAGCUUGCUAGAAGAUGACGAGUGGCGGACGGGUGAGUAAUGCUUGGGAACUUGCCUUUGCGAGGGGGAUAACAGUUGGAAACGACUGCUAAUACCGCAUAAUGUCUUCGGACCAAACGGGGCUUCGGCUCCGGCGCAAAGAGAGGCCCAAGUGAGAUUAGCUAGUUGGUAAGGUAACGGCUUACCAAGGCGACGAUCUCUAGCUGUUCUGAGAGGAAGAUCAGCCACACUGGGACUGAGACACGGCCCAGACUCCUACGGGAGGCAGCAGUGGGGAAUAUUGCACAAUGGGGGAAACCCUGAUGCAGCCAUGCCGCGUGUGUGAAGAAGGCCUUCGGGUUGUAAAGCACUUUCAGUUGUGAGGAAAAGUUAGUAGUUAAUACCUGCUAGCCGUGACGUUAACAACAGAAGAAGCACCGGCUAACUCCGUGCCAGCAGCCGCGGUAAUACGGAGGGUGCGAGCGUUAAUCGGAAUUACUGGGCGUAAAGCGCACGCAGGCGGUUUGUUAAGCUAGAUGUGAAAGCCCCGGGCUCAACCUGGGAUGGUCAUUUAGAACUGGCAGACUAGAGUCUUGGAGAGGGGAGUGGAAUUCCAGGUGUAGCGGUGAAAUGCGUAGAUAUCUGGAGGAACAUCAGUGGCGAAGGCGACUCCCUGGCCAAAGACUGACGCUCAUGUGCGAAAGUGUGGGUAGCGAACAGGAUUAGAUACCCUGGUAGUCCACACCGUAAACGCUGUCUACUAGCUGUGUGUGCCUUUAAGGCGUGCGUAGCGAAGCUAACGCGCUAAGUAGACCGCCUGGGGAGUACGGCCGCAAGGUUAAAACUCAAAUGAAUUGACGGGGGCCCGCACAAGCGGUGGAGCAUGUGGUUUAAUUCGAUGCACCGCGAAGAACCUUACCUACACUUGACAUGCUGAGAAGUUACUAGAGAUAGUUUCGUGCCUUCGGGAAUUCAGAACCAGGUGCUGCAUGGCUGUCGUCA